rnacentral:rRNA from 1 species
AACGAACGCUGGCGGCAUGCCUAACACAUGCAAGUCGAACGAGAUCCUUCGGGGUCUAGUGGCGCACGGGUGCGUAACGCGUGGGAAUCUGCCCUUAGGUUCGGAAUAACAGUUAGAAAUGACUGCUAAUACCGGAAGAUGACGUUAAGUCCAAAGAUUUAUCGCCUGAGGAUGAGCCCGCGUAGGAUUAGCUAGUUGGUGUGGUAAAGGCGCACCAAGGCGACGAUCCUUAGCUGGUCUGAGAGGAUGAUCAGCCACACUGGGACUGAGACACGGCCCAGACUCCUACGGGAGGCAGCAGUGGGGAAUAUUGGACAAUGGGCGCAAGCCUGAUCCAGCAAUGCCGCGUGAGUGAUGAAGGCCUUAGGGUUGUAAAGCUCUUUUACCCGGGAUGAUAAUGACAGUACCGGGAGAAUAAGCCCCGGCUAACUCCGUG